UCAGGAUGAACGCUGGCGGUAUGCGUAACACAUGCAAGUCGAACGAAGUUUUUCGGAACUUAGUGGCGGACGGGUGAGUAACGCGUGAGAAUCUACCAAAAGGACUGGGACAACCACUGGAAACGGUGGCUAAUACCGGAUGAACCGAAAAGUAAAAAGGGAAACCUGCCUUUUGAAGAGCUCGCGUCUGAUUAGCUAGUUGGUGAGGUAAGAGCUCACCAAGGCAGCGAUCAGUAGCUGGUCUGAGAGGAUGACCAGCCACACUGGGACUGAGACACGGCCCAGACUCCUACGGGAGGCAGCAGUGGGGAAUUUUCCGCAAUGGGCGAAAGCCUGACGGAGCAAGACCGCGUGAGGGAAGAAGGCUCUUGGGUCGUAAACCUCUUUUAUCAGGGAAGAAAAAAAUGACGGUACCUGAAGAAUCAGCCUCGGCUAACUCCGUGCCAGCAGCCGCGGUAAUACGGAGGAGGCAAGCGUUAUCCGGAAUUAUUGGGCGUAAAGCGUCCGCAGGUGGCUUAUCAAGUCUGCUGUCAAAGAGUGGGGCUUAACCCCAUAAAGGCAGUGGAAACUGAGAAGCUAGAGUGCCGUAGGGGUAGAGGGAAU
rnacentral:rRNA from 1 species